CCUCACUCAUUGCAAAUUACAAAGAAAAUAUACCUAAUCAAUGCCCAUAAUGUCCAGAGGCAGAGAGCAAGGUCUCCUCGCCCCUCGGCAUCAUGUCUUCAAUGCCAGCGGCUUUCUAUCUGCUGGUUCUAUCCUCAAGAGCCGGGACACAG